GACGAACGCUGGCGGCGUGCUUAACACAUGCAAGUCGAGCGGUAAGGCCCUUUCGGGGGUACACGAGCGGCGAACGGGUGAGUAACACGUGGGUGACCUGCCCUUAGCUCUGGGAUAAGCCUGGGAAACUGGGUCUAAUACCGGAUAUGACUCCAUGACGCAUGUUGUGGGGUGGAAAGCCUUGUGCGGCUAGGGAUGGGGCCCGCGGCCUAUCAGCUUGUUGGUGGGGUGAUGGCCACCAAGGCGGCGACGGGUAGCCGGCCUGAGAGGGCGACCGGCCACACUGGGACUGAGACACGGCCCAGGACUCCUACGGGAGGCAGCAGUGGGGAAUCCGUGCGCAAUGGGCGAAAGCCUGACGCAGCGACGCCGCGUGAGGGAUGAC
rnacentral:rRNA from 1 species